rnacentral:rRNA from 1 species
CCUACGGGUGGCAGCAGUGGGGAAUAUUGGGCAAUGGGCGCAAGCCUGACCCAGCAAUGCCGCUUGAAGGAAGAAGGCUUUCGGGUUGUAAACUUCUUUGACAGGGGACGAGCAGAAGACGGUACCCUGACAACAAGCCACGGCUAACUCCGGGCCAGCAGCCGCGGUAAUGCGGAGGUGGCAAGCGUUGUCCGGCUUUACUGGGUGUAAAGGGCGUGUAGCCGGGAAGGCAAGUCAGAUGUGAAAUCCGGGGGCUCAACCCCCGAACUGCAUUUGAAACUGUUUGUCUUGAGUACGGGAGAGGCAGGCGGAAUUCCUUGUGUAGCGGUGAAAUGCAUAGAUAUAAGGAGGAACACCAGUGGCGAAGGCGGUCUGCUGGACAGCAACUGACGGUGAGGCGCGAAAGCGUGGGGAGUAAACAGGAUUAGAUACCCCUGUAGUC